CAAUGGAGGAAACUCUGAUGCAGCAACGCCGCGUGGAGGAUGACGCAUUUCGGUGUGUAAACUCCUUUUAAGAGGGAAGAUUAUGACGGUACCUCUUGAAUAAGCACCGGCUAACUCCGUGCCAGCAGCCGCGGUAAUACGGAGGGUGCAAGCGUUACUCGGAAUCACUGGGCGUAAAGGGGGCGUAGGCUGACUUUUAAGUCAGGCGUGAAAUCCAAUGGCUUAACCAUUGAACUGCGCUUGAAACUGGGAGUCUAGAGUUCAGAAGGGGCAGAUGGAAUUAAUGGUGUAGGGGUAAAAUCCGUAUAUAUCACUAGGAAUAUCAAAAGCGAAGGCGAUCUGCUGGGAUGAUACU
rnacentral:rRNA from 1 species